UAUGCCUCAUUUGAUUCAAAGCGUCGUCUGAUUGACAAAACGAGCAUGGCCCCGGCUCGUCAAACUUCAGAUAGAAAAUUACUAUUCAUAGGCUAUUGACAGUAUUUUACUUUUUUGGCCUCUAUUUCUCGGUUACGGUCGUACUUCACGUUUAUGAUCUAAUUUAUUCAUCAAUGAGAGCACACACUGCACAGGAACUGUAUGAAGUGCACUAUAUAUAUUAAUAGGAUCAGACGCUCAACUGCCAACUGUUUCCAACUUUAUUUGCAAUACAGGCUGUAUCACAUUGCUCACUCAACUACAGAGUAUCGUAGAAAGUUUUUGGCUAGUCAUCUACUUCAGCACACUACUUCUACUUCACUUCUCUCUCCGUUUACAGACUCAACGUGAAAGUCCCCAACUUUAUUUGCAAUACAGGCUGUAUCACAUUGCUCACUCAACUACAGAGUAUCGUAGAAAGUUUUUGGCUUGUCAUCUACUUCAGCACACUACUUCACUUCUCUCUCCGUUUACAGACUCAACGUGAAAGUCCCCAACUUUAUUUGCAAUACAGGCUGUAUCACAUUGCUCACUCAACUACAGAGUAUCAUUGUUACUAAUUUGAAUGUUGAAAAUGUCAACCAACCCUCAACGAUUCAAGUAGUGUUACAAAAUCAAGAAAAAGGCGUCAACCAAAUUGAAGAUGCAAGACAAAGCACCUUGACUGAAACAAAUCAGAGUGAACAAAUACAAGUUGGUCAGUUACAGGAUACAUUUGAAAUGGUUUCAAUUCUAAAGGACUGCGCUGAAGGAAGAAAAAUAUUUAAUUCGUACAUGGAUCGGAAUGAAUCGUACUUGGAUGUGGAAGAAAGAAGAUUACUGUUACGCAUUUGUGUCAGCCACAUGUGCAUGUGUAUUAUGUUUAACAUUUAACUCGUUCGGUUGCUUACACUCAAUUUGUUAGACGUCCUAUGUGUUAUAACUAACCAAGUUGUGUUUCCUAUUUAACCAUUGAAAUACAUCAAAAGCUUGUCUGCUUUUUUUAAACAAGA